rnacentral:rRNA from 1 species
GACGAACCGUGCGAACGUUAUUCGGAAUCACUGGGCUUAAAGCGCGUGUAGGCGGCCCGGCACGUCCGUCGCUGAAAUCCCCCGGCUCAACCGGGGAAGUGGCGUGGAUACGGCCGGGCUGGAGGGGGGUAGGGGGAGCCGGAACUUCCGGUGGAGCGGUGAAAUGCGUUGAGAUCGGAAGGAACGCCCGUGGCGAAAGCGGGCUCCUGGACCCCACCUGACGCUGAGACGCGAAAGCCAGGGGAGCGAACGGG